UACGUAGGGGGCUAGCGUUAUCCGGAAUUAUUGGGCGUAAAGAGCUCGUAGGCGGUUUGUCGCGUCUGCUGUGAAAACUCGAGGCUCAACCUCGGGCUUGCAGUGGGUACGGGCAGACUAGAGUGCGGUAGGGGUGACUGGAAUUCCUGGUGUAGCGGUGGAAUGCGCAGAUAUCAGGAGGAACACCGAUGGCGAAGGCAGGUCACUGGGCCGCAACUGACGCUGAGGAGCGAAAGCAUGGGGAGCGAACAGG
rnacentral:rRNA from 1 species